rnacentral:rRNA from 1 species
UACGAAGGGUGCAAGCGUUACUCGGAAUUACUGGGCGUAAAGCGUGCGUAGGUGGUUCGUUAAGUCUGAUGUGAAAGCUCUGGGCUCAACCUGGGAAUGGCAUUGGAAACUGGCGACCUAGAGUGCGGUAGAGGGUAGUGGAAUUCCCGGUGUAGCAGUGAAAUGCGUAGAGAUCGGGAGGAACAUCUGUGGCGAAGGCGACUGCCUGGACCAGCACUGACACUGAGGCACGAAAGCGUGGGGAGCAAACAGG